GACCAAAACGACGAGGACGACGCGAGGAUCGACUUUCCUCAAGGCGGGCCGAGCAUCCGGGCUCGGGAAGGCGGCCGAAACGGGCCAAACAUGGGCUGCCAUACCCAUUUUCUUGGCUGUUGCUUGGGGCCGAUGGAGGGCUGCACGGCGGCGGAUUGGGCAGAGGAACGGCGGAGGAGGACUGCCGGUGGCUCGGAUGGGCAAGGCGGCGGCCAGGCGAGGCCUCACGGUGGCCGGAGGUGACUGAAUCGCGGCCUGAGCUGGCCGAACAGCCCCCGGGACGCACGAGCAGAGGCCCACGGAGACGGCUGGGCGUCGGCCGAGCGCGGGCGAGCGCGGGCGGACGGGCAGCGAUGGCAAGCUCCGGCGAACGGGCGACGAACGACAGCCAUGGCUGCAGCUUCUUCAACAAGCUCAGAUCUGAUGGGUCUUCGAGCAAGAACCCGAGAUGGAGGAGAGAGGGCGACGGUGAGCGGACGCGCGGCUGUGCGCGCGAACGGCGGCGACAACGACGGCACCGGCGGCGAGCGACGAGCGGCGAAGGAGGCGGACGGCGAGGGACUGCUUUGGCUUCUUCCUCAGCAAAUUUUCUGGUCUUUCGCACAAAGAAGAUGGAGGAGAAACCAACGGAAGGGAGAGAGGAAGGAGAGAGAAGGAGGAGAGAGAGAGAUGGGACCAUUCCCUUUUCUUUUCCUUUUUCUUUAAUCCCACAAAAAUGGCCCACCAUGACCUCAUGGAUGAUGUCAUACUCCACUCACUCAAAACUCCCACAACCUUAUUUCAAUGGAUUCAAUUCCAUUUUCCGCCGGGGUCCAAUUCUUGUACAUCCAAUUUCUUCAAUUCUCAUCAAUUCUCUUCCAAUUGAAUCAAAUUGAAGUCCAUAAAAUUAAUCCGAUGUCACCACACUUCAAUCCACAUCUUCACUUGUCUAUAGAACCAACUUAAGUCCCAAAAGCAAGACCAAAGGCGGGCCUACUAAUUUCUCAAGCCAAAAUAGCCAUUCUCUGAUUUAAUUGCUGAAAAACUCUGAUUACAUGAAAAAUCUUCCAAAGAUGAUUCAAUGAUCCUGAAAUAAUUUCACUGCAGCCCAACCUACCAGGUAGCCUUUAGAAAUUUUCAUGCAUUUGACCUGUGGUUGAUCAUCUCAAGGCACAAUGUACAUCUUUGAAACAUUGGCGACUUUCGGUUGUCGGGGUAAUCUCAAGGUUUCAAAUACGAACAUAGGGUACCCAAUCGAUAGAAAAGUCGGUCCAGUGCCGAUCGACAAGAAUUGUGCGAUCUGGUGGAAUCACCCACACUCGAUCACAUGCCUAUGUCGAGUCGACCUAUCUCUGAUCUCUAAUCGAUUUUUAAUUGUGCCGUAAUGACCCUUGCAAAUUAGCUCGGUCGAAAGAUCGCUUCCUAGUCAAAUUCUCGAAUCUGAUGCAUUAGAAAUUCUUAACAGCUUCACCCGAUAAACUAGUUUUCACAUGAGUGGCCAACUCAAGGAAAAGAACUAUAUGUGUGCCAACGAAAUGCCCAUCUCAAUUUAUUGAAAAUAGAAUCGGAAAAUCGGGAUGUCACAUUUUACUUGUAAAUGCUAGGUGAUUGGAUUGCCCUCAUGCGAUGGUUUUUCUCAAGGAAUUAUAGGUGAUAAGCUUCCAAUUCCCAAUAUUAUUUCCAAAAGAUGAAACUACUUGUAUACUGGAGGACGAAACGUAGAAUUCUCUAAACCUUCUCUUUUCUGUGGAAAUGUAUAGAAUGACUGCCACUCUCUCUCUCUCUCUCUCUCUCUCUCUCUCUCUCUCUCAUAUGCAACGGCUUGUGACGGAAACAUUUUAUUUGGGCAUUUGUGGAGUUUUUGUUUUUGAAUAAUCAACAAUAAUUACAUCUGCUGCAAAUGAUGAUCAUCACUGAAAGAUAUCCUUUUCUCAUGACUUGCUUAAAUGUUCUUUGGUUUGUAUGCGGGGUAAUAGGAUUUAAAGUGUGCUCUUUGGCUUAUGCAAAGUCUAUCUGACUGGAUAUGCCCAUAGAGAGUGCACAAAUAGUUUCGUAUCAAUUUUGUCUUUAUCCUGCGAUCAGGCAAUCUAAUUUUUCAAGAAGAAUAUUUACAGCAAAAUAUGCCUUUCCUGCUAAGUUUUUUUUCUCUCAAAUAUUCACUUUUGCAUCUUUAUUAUUUGACCAAUCAUGUCAGUAAAUUUUUUUGUGCCUAUAUUAAUUAGAAGGGCCAAAUAUUCACUUUUGCAUCUUUAUGUUUUACGAAUCAUGUAAGUAGAAGGGCCAAAUGACUUCAUUAUUCUUCACCUUGUAGAAAAACACAUAAGGUAAAACCAUUUGAAAACUCUCGGUGUGUAAAACUGCAAGAAAACCCCAGAAUUUCAAUUUCAUGGCGGAGACCUCCAUCCAUGGUGUCGUCCACCGCAAAUCCAACUCCGGCGACCGUCCAAGCGGCACCAAAAGAAAUCCUCCUCCUCCUUCGAGCCCUAGGGAUCUCAUUAGUGUGUGCCUGUGAUUAGCACUGUUUUGUGGCGUUUGUUGCCCCGGCUGAGUGACCUCCGCUUUUUGCGGCAUUCUAGUCUUUCAUGAAGGGGAAUCUUGGAGAGUGCAUGUAUUUAUUAAUUUGGCAGAUAGGAUGAUAUAUAACUUUGAAACUUAGAGCUCCUUCCCUCUGUUUAAUUUUCAAUAAAUGGAUCUGGGAUGAGUCAAUUUUUGGGACAAUGAAUGCCCACUAGAUCUAGGAUCAAUGCAACAUUCUUAGAUGCUUGUUUUUCACAAGAAAAUGUGCAUGAAGAGAUUAUAUGAAAAAUGUUCAUUUUUCAGUUCAUUUUGUCAGUUUAUCGAGAAGAUACAAUUAUCUAGAAAUAUGAUGAAGAACAAUGGACCUAAUCACCUUAGGUUGACAAAACCGGGUCAUAUGCUCUCUUGUCACUUUAGGCUGCUCUUCCAUAAUACAUCUUUUAGAGUAUUCUUAGAAUAUUUUAUAAUGACAAUGGACAGAUUCACUUGGAAACUUAGGUCAAUGUUGAGGUUUGCUGUCUCAUGUAAGUAACUAUAGAAUUUUAAGAUCCUUCAAAGAUUACAAGUUUUCCAUGAGAAGCAUAUGUAAAUAGUCUCCUUUUAUAAAGAGAUUCACUUGUUCAUUUCUACUUUUAGUAUCUUCAUCAAUCUUUUCCCGGCUGCAAGGUAGUGUUAAAGGAUAUUGUACUUGGAUGGAAUGUAAUUUUAUUAUUCUUAAUUCAUGUUAGACAAGAAAGUAAAUAUUACUUUAAUUUUCUUUGUUACUUGCUCAAUGUGAUUAGAUUCUAUCCCAUUUGGAGAUGGAAGGGGUCUCCAUUGUCAAUAUGUCAGAAUCUGAGACUACAUGGGCCAGUUAGUCAAUGGGACUUUCCUAGGAUACAAUACAUGCUACGAAGUGCACAGUGCCUAAAAAAUAAUUCAUAGACCUGACCUCCCCCCUCUAUUGAAGGUUUGUUCAUUCGCUAUGAUUUUUUCAGUUCGCUUCUUUGGUUUGACUUCCUCUUUGCACGAAUGUGCAGGGCUACGACUAUUCGACAUUCAAAAAAACAAAUCAAUAGGUGGUCCUAGAAAAGGGAAACUAAAUUGCAUAGAAUGUAUUAGUUGGCAGCAGGGGUCGAGCGAUCAGUCCUCUCCACGUAGCUCCCCCACGAUACUUGCUGACACGUCUCCUACUUAUUUUGGCUUCCGAGCUUCGAUACAAUUUCAAUUUGGAUAGAAAUUGAUGCGCAAACUCAACAACCUUUUUUUGGUAAAACGGUGGAGUCGGCUUCUAAAUAGAGACGUGCGACAUGCAUCGCAGUCUGUAUUUGGCAUGGUUGGGAGGUGAGAAAAAUCUUCUCCGGUGCCAUAUUUGUCAGCCAGUUUGAAAAAAAAAAAAAAGCACGUGUAUGUAAUUUAAGAUGUGAUUAUUGUUGGACGCAAAUUGCGCAACCCCAAGAUCUCCAUAACUAGAACAAGAACAUGCAUAAUUUAGUAGAAAGAUUAAUGCACAUAUUUUUGGAUCCAUCAUUCUUUAAAGUGGAAGCAAAAAAGGGAUUAUCCACACAUUAAGGAGAUUACCCACGCAUCAAGUCAUUCUCUUCUAUUGCCCUCCAUAUCACUGGCUUAAUGAGGUGGCCCCUCACCUUUAACGUUAGAUUAACGCUCAUUAUGUGAGGAUACAUGUGAUAAUUCGGGUUAGAGGAGAGACUUGAGCACUAUUUAUAGAGUUUCCAACCAGGCCCCCUCAUUACGGGCCAUGCUCAACUCGGCCCACACUAGCCAGCCUCAUAUUAGACUAAUUAAGAAACAUUCUAUCUCACCUUAGACCAACCCUGUUUUACAGUAACCGUAAAAACAGUAAAUUACAAUAUCAAUUAAUGUAGUCCACAUUAGGAAAAUUCUUACAAUUAUGCUAUUCCUAAGCUCAUGAGAUGCCAAACUUUAUCACGAAUGUGGUUUUUGCUAAGGAAUUAUGUUUGAGAAGUUUUAUGUUGAACUUUCCGGGUAGAAUUUUGCAAGUUUCACCACUUAUCAAUGUCUACUGCUUAGUAAAUAGAGCGUUUGGAUGUGGUGUCAUAUAUCAGGCUCACUCAAGCAAUUUUUUUUUUCUAGAGCUCAAGCUUAGUUAUGCGUAAGCCCGCCCCUUUUGAGCCUAUCCAGACCCGAUUAUAAUAAAGUUCAUUUAUUACGCGAGAAAUAAGUAAUUUUAAAAAAAUAAAAAUUAAAAAAACUCAAAAUAAUGCCAUGUCAAAGCAUUUGUUAGACCCGACUUACAGUGUCAACAUACUUGGUUUUCACGCACCAUCCAAAGUGGCACAAAAAGAGUGAACAAAUUUUAUUUCCAUAUGGUGUGAUUUGCGUUUUCUUAUUUCAUAUAUGCACACUUUUAGAUGAGAUUGUGCAUUAAAGAAUUCCUUCCAUUUAGCUAUUGUUACUAGCAAAAGUUGCACAUAUUUUGUGUAUAUUCAAAAUAUACACAAAUGAAUAAAGGACUGAGUACAAUUGAAAAAGACUGGCCAAGUCUCCUAGAAUUUCUAGAGACUUCUAGAAUAUUCCCAAGGACGGGCAACACAGCAAAUGUAGCAUGUUCUAGAGAAUUCUUGUCAUAAAUGUCGGUAGUUAAUAGACUCUUAUAUAAAUCUCCAUCAUUAGAUCGAUAGCCAAUCAAUGAAUGUUACGCGAUGGACUCUUGUCUAAAUAGAAAUGUCAGCCCCUCAUUUGUAUUAAUCUAAUACUUGAGUAGUAGAAUGCAUUAUCUUACAGAGCUACUCUCUAAAAAAUGUUCCAAAACUUAAAAAAUGUUCUUGUCACCCCUUGUUGGAUUCAAUUAUUAAUAGCUAUGUUGAGUUUGCAAGCCCCUUGUUGGAUUCAAGUAUUAAUAGCUGUGUUGAGUGUUGAGUUUGUGAUCAGGCAUGGCGUCAAAGAGUUGUCGUAAACCUGAUCCUGGCAUUUCAGUUUCAUGUGUUGUUGGUUUCCUUCUUCCACCUCACUACGUUGGUAAGUUUGCUCUUGUCUCAAGGCAUUUUUUGGUUGAUAGAUGCUGUAAAUUGGCCUUCGCUGAAGACACUGCGCAUUGGAUAUGCCAAGUUGAUGGAUCGAAGACUUUCGAGGAGGUGCCUUGUUUUGUAGUUUCCUGAGUUGAAAGACUGCAUAAGCUUUAAGCACAUGAGAAUUGAAUCAAGAGCUAUGAGAGAGUUGCUGAUUAACUCUAAUAGAUUAUAUGCUCGUGAUGGUUUGCUCUUGAAUAUAUCGGCUGCUCAUAUACUGAAAUUGAAAUUCUUAUUUGUUCCAGCAAUUGAUUUUUUGUAGGGAUUAACAAUACAUAGGACCACCUAUGUAUUUUUGUAGGGAUUAACAAAAAUUUUGAUCCGGUCGAUAAGUGCAAAAGAAGACUAUCGAUUUGCGGCAGAAGAAUCAUAGUGUCAUUCUCCAUUAAAUUUAAAUAUAAUAGCCCAGUCAACACUGGGUCAAAACAAAUUCAAUGUCACACCUCCCAAAAUUCUUGACCGGCGCCAUGCGUGGCUGCAAAGGUCAUGGAAAGAGGAUGAUCUUGAAAUCGACGUGAAACUGCCUUCCAUUUUUUAGACAAAAGCACAAAUUUUCUUGUUUCUUUCUUUCACCGAACGUUCCGAUUCAGUCACAAUGUUGGCGUUCUCUUCAACUUCAUGCAACUUCAUGUUCAGACAGGCUUGAUAAAGCUCUUAUUUGAAACUUUGCCAUGGACUGGCCAAGGGUAGAACCUAGCUGGGCGAGAGUAAUGAUGGCCAAAGGAGACCCCCCUGCCCCGGGGAGAAAGGGCGGGGGGAACCGGUUUAGAUCAUCAACCAUUGUACUUCCAAAUAUAGAUGUUCCUAACAAGUGUUCCCUAACUAGGGUUUCUUUCCAGCUCAACGAUAUUCCAUAUCAUAUUAUCUUGUGGAGUUGGUAAUGGAAAAGCUUUUAUGUCUUAUAAACUGUGAUUGACUUCUUUUUAUGCUUCUAGGUUGCAUUGUAUAUGCAUGCACAUCCUUGGUGUGAAAUGGGAAAAAGAGUGUUUCUUUACCUCAAAACCAAUGGGCGCUGCCUUACUUCCGAAUGAGGUAACAACUUCGUCUCUAAGAUCAUACCCCCAAUAAACCUUGAAUUUGUGGGUAUAGGUCCACAUCAAGAAACUACAUAACUUGGUUAAUAAUUUUUGCUCAUGCGCACCUGCACACGUCAAGUACAUUUGAUUUGUCGUUAAAUGAGGUUAGAAUGCAACUGAAUUUAUGAGAAAGUCUGAGGAUAUGUAGAAUAUUCCAACAAAUCUAGAGCUUUCAGUUCUAGGCCGACAAAGGGUUGCUGGUAAUGAUUCGUAAUUCAUUUCUUAGGAUUAAUACUUGAUCAAAACUUCAUAGAAGGCAGAUACAACGAGCUCUAGCAAGGGUUUACUCACCGGCAAGUUAUAGAUGGUGUGAUGAGCUUUUGUGCUCUUUUUACUGUAUCACUUGACAGCAGGAACUAAUAUGAACGUUCAUAGAAAACACAUCUACAUAGAAUUAAAUUUAACAUCCUUAAGUCACACUUACAAAAGGUGGCAAGUAUCGUUUGCAUUGUCACAACGAAUUGUCACAACAAUGACACCUCGACUUCCAGAAGUAGGAAUUUGUUUUUUUUUUUUUGGGUAUAAGUAAGCAAUAUAUUGGGGAAAAGGGGAAACUGUACAAGCGAACAUGGCUUCAAAAACUUGCACUCAAGAUGAUAAGAAUCAAUAUGAGUGGAAGGAAGCCAGGAGGAAAAAGCCGAGCGGCUAACCAAGAAGCCAGAAGCAAGAAAGCACUAGAACGGCGAAAACAACUGCCAACUAGAAAACAAAUUACCACAACACCCAGGGCAAGGGAGGUGAAAAUCAAUCGCCACCAACCACAAGCAGCAACAGGCUCACACGGAGGUAGACCAGCAAAACCAACGGCCACUAAAUAGCUUAGACGGACGGCUGAAGAUCUCUAGAAGAGAAAAUGAUCGGGUCAAUGUCCCAACUGCGCUGCAGCCUCCUAUUUCUAGUGGAGUCAUCCACAUUUCUGAAGGUGACAGCCUUGUCUUUAACGACUUUGAGAAGAUGCUUCUUCAUGGCCGGCACGGAAAGCAGCUCCCCUCUGAAGAGUAUGUUGUUCAUGUUCAUACAAAUGAUAUGGCAAAGCGCACCAAAAGAAAAGCGGCCAAUGCAUUUAUAAAAGUCCUUGCUCAACAGCAAGGUUAUGGCCCAAUGGAGAGUCUCACCCCCAAGACCUGUUGCGCCAUAGAAGAUUGCAUCUAGCCGCCCAAAAGAAAGUAAUAUUACUCGUAGUGCAACACCCAAAAAACAGAUGAUCAAUAGAGUCAGGCACAUCAUUGCAGAAAGGGCAAGAGGUAGAAUCAAUCCUACCAUAAGAUAGAGUAGAGCUUGGGUAGGAAGCCUGCACUUGGUGAUUAGCCAAAGGUUAAAUUGGAACCAAGGCAAGAUGGCAAUGUUCCAGAUGAAAGGAUGCCAAAAGACCCACGUCUUCUUCCAACUAAUGGCCUCCCAAGCCGUUGCAAUUGUGAAACGGCCCGACGAGUUCUCUUUCCAACAAAAACAAUCCUAGUUCCGAGACAGGGAGGGGAGAGGGGACUCCCAUGACUCUAACACUGACCUGAUAACCUAGCCAUCAUCAGAAAAGAGGUCUGACACUGUAGCCUACCUAGAGAAACCGGAACUAUAGAUGAGCGAAUCCAAGAAAAAUAAGUUCAAUAGGCCCCAAGGAUGUUAAUUAUCAAACUAGAGUGACAUUGAUAGGCCAUCCCCUAUCCUCCAAAAGAAGCUAUGUUAGAAUUCCAUAUGAGCUAUAAGAUCUUCUUCCAAGCCCAGGAACAAGUUGGCUCUUGACAACCCAAAAGUUACUCAUUUUUAAGAAGGUUGAGUGGAUCCACUUGCAUCACAACGAUUCCUUAUCUGAAAACAAGAUCCAUAUAUGUUUUAGAAUAGCAGCUUUAUUACAAUCACGAAGUCUCCAAAUACCAAAACCUCCAUCCUCUUUUGGGAGGCAUACGUCACCCCAAGAAACCUUGGCACCCCCUCUACCCAACUUCGGGCCUCUCCAAAGGAAUUGUCUGAGAAUACACUCAAUUUGGUCUAGCACAGCCGCAGGAAGAAUAAAAACACUCACCCAAUAGGCAUGGAUAGCAUGAAGAACUUACCUGAGCAACUAGAGACGGCCAGCAAAAGAUAGAAACCGAUGAGUCCAAAAUUGUACCCUCGAUGUAAUGCGACUAACAAUAGCAGCACAAUCCGUCUUCCCCAACCUCAACGUGAUGAUUGGAACCCCAAGUAUCAAACCGGCAAGUUCCCUUCUAGGAAGCCUAGGUCUAGCAGGAUUUGAUUUCUUAAGGACGGCGAGCCCACUGACAAGAACACCUCACUUUUCCUCGAAUUUGGGUGCAACCCACUCUAGGAAGAGAACGUUUAGAGGCCUUCUUUAAGGAGCGUCACAGAAGGCAAGUCGGCCUCACAAAAUAGGAAGACGUCAUCUCACAAGGAUUCUAGAGAGCACCUCCAUAACCAACGUAAAUAAAUAGGGAGACAUGGGAUUGCCCUAUCGAAGGCCUCGACCACUAAGAAAGAAACCAUGUAACUCCCCAUUCAAAGCAAUGGAAAACCUAGGCAUCUACACACAGGUCAUAAUGAGCUGCACUAGGCGAUCAGGGAACCGAAAAGCAAGGAGAACACUCUCUAGAAAGAGCCAAUCCACGAUGUCAUAGGCUUUCCUGAAGUCUACUUUAAUUGCACACUUAAGGGAAUAUGACUCCAAAUGGAAGCUAGAGAAGAGUUCUUGAGCCAAAAGGAUAUUAUUCCCGACCUGCCACCCAUUUACAAAAGCAUUUUUAGAAUGGCUCACAAGAUCCUUUAGCACUGCAGCCACUCGAUUUGCCAAAACUUUGGUAAUUAGUUUGUAAAUAAAAUUGUAGCAAGCAAUAGUGUAAUCAUCAACGGUGGUCGCGUUAUGAACCUUCGGCACCAAAACCAGAAUGAUGUUGUUGAUCUCCCUUAGGAGCCUCCCCGUGGUGAAGAGGUCCCUCACGGCUGCCGUGACUGACUGCUCAACCGUCCCCUGGUUCUCCUUAAAGAACUCAACCAUGAAACCAUCCGGUCCCAAGGCCUUACCGCGAGCUAAAGACAAAAGAGUGUCUCGAAUCUCUAGAUCAGAGACAGGUCGCGCAAGAGAGGUAAUCUGGUCAUCGUUUAGCGGAGAUCAGAUGACCUCCUGGAUCUCCCGUAUCGAGGGUGUUCCCUGCUCCACCCGAGGCAUGAGGAGGUCUUGGAAAUACUCCAUAAAAUGUUGCUAGACCAGCAAUGGAUUAGUGAUUUGGUUCCCCAAGGAAUCCAUAACAAAGAGGAUUAUGUUUCUCAUAUGUCUUUUAUUGACAUAGUGGUGGAAGAACUUUGUAUUACGAUCCCCUCUUUAAGCCAUCUGAUUCUAGCUUUUUGUCUAAAAAAUGACUCCUCCUUAGAGCGAAGGUCUAAGAAGGUGCCGCGUCGAUUCUUUUCCAACUCAGCAAGCUCCACACUAGUAGGGUCUUGAAGGAGGCCAACCUGUGUCAACUCUAAAGCAACCCUCGCUUCUGAAAUCCUAGCAGAAGUAUUGGAGAAUGACUUUGUUUAACUGCUUGAGCCGACUUUUAAGAGCCUUAAGGACGUGCGGAUCCCUCAAGUGCCACAACUUUGGCCAAAGGGACACUUAAGUGCCAUAACUUACGAAAGGUACAUUUAAGUGCCAAAAUCGGAGUAAAAUGGAUCACUUGAGUGCUACUCCGGCCAAAACGCCAACGUAGCGUUUUUCCGGUGAAGCGUGCCCAAAACGACGCUGUUUUGCACGCUGACGUGGCCAAAACGGUGUCGUUUUGGAUUGACGUGGAAAAAAAAAAUUUAAAAAAANNNNNNNNNNNNNNNNNNNNNNNNNNNNNNNNNNNNNNNNNNNNNNNNNNNNNNNNNNNNNNNNNNNNNNNNNNNNNNNNNNNNNNNNNNNNNNNNNNNNCAACAUAGAUUAAUGAAAACACAACAGACAGCCCCCCAAAACCAAACACCUGAGAUCCCCAGGAACAGCUUGGUCCAUAUAGAGAAAGCUUCGAAGGAAACACUGGAAGGAUCCCAAUCAACCCAAAUCCUUUCCCUGAUGGGAGUACUCAUAAUUAGCCAACCAACACCAGUUCAACAACAGAUUCCCAGAAAUAGAUCUAAAGAGAUUGUGCAGGACUUUCGUUUCCACUAAACCAACCAAAACCAAAUGAUUCAACAAAACCAGAUUCUGAACCUCAGCUUGUCUCGAGGGGCCAACAAGGCCCCUAAUGUUCCAACACCUUAUAUACAUAUAUACCAAAAAGAAGAAAGGAAGAAGGAGGGUUACCUCCUCUUGGAUGAGCUGCGCCAAGUGGGGGGCGGGGCAGCACGGGCCGAAGAAGGGGGCGGGUCAGGAGCCAAGGUGAGCAGCUUGUCCUGCAUAGUCUCAACCUUUCUACUAGUAGCCAAAGCCUUCGGCGAGGGACAUGGGGAUAGUAGGUCAUCAUCUGAACUGGAAAUCAGGUUAUUCGAUCCCUCUAGCUCCUCACUAGGGCUAGGCAACACAGGACUGAGGGGCUUCGUAGAGUUGGGCACAUCAUCCACAGAGACGGGAACGGCUUCAUCCUGCUUCGAAAUAAUUUUGAGAUCUCUCUGCACUUUGUGAGUUGAGGUAGAGGGCAGUCCCUUCUCCAAAGUAGCAGCCUUUAACCUUAGAGUCCAUCCCUCAUCACUCAAACUAACCUAGAUGGUCAAACUCCCUUCCAUCGGAGGAUGAGGCUUCUUCUUAUUUCCCUUGACUUGAUUCCAAGCUUGCUCCGGUUCUGCAGGGUCUUUCGAAGUAGGGGCAGGAAGCUGGACAGGGACCGAAGAAGCAGGUGGGGCCUAAGCCUAUCUUGACGUCAUCUUCGGGUUGAUGGAGGCGGGGGAAGCCUCACACUUGUGGCCGAAAAUGCCACACUUAAGGCACUCAACAAGCCACUAUUCGUAAUCAAUGUCUAUCGAUCAUGACACUCCAUUCACAACCACUUCAACCGACGAACACCUUGGUUUUUUUGCCUAGAUUUCUACGAACACUCUAGCAAAAGAAAUCAUCUUCAUUAACUCCGUGCGUUGGCCACAUAAAAAGGGUUUACUAAUGUAACUUGCUAUGGCACUUAUUGCCGGCGCCGACUAAAGGUCAAAAGGAAGAUUCUUGAGCCUAAUCCACACCGGAACGGAGGAUUACUUAUCUUUUUUUAGCUCUAAAAGAGGCGUCCAUUGCGAUAAAAUGAGAGGAACCCUUGCCACCGUUAGGGGCCCCUCCUCUAAGAUCUUACAGAAUAAGAGAUCCAGGACAUGGAAAAAGAAGAAACCUUGGUCAUUGGCCAGCACUUCCACAAGCUUAGGGCCCCAAGUGUUCUUCAAAGCUUGCUCGAUGAGCUGAAAAUGAAGUUUCCUCCCUACAAAAUAUCCAACCAAGUAUAUAUACCAAUCAUUUUCAAAGAUAAAUAAUUUAUUGUCAACCUCUUACAAGGAAAUAUCAUAUUUUGAGAGUCCUUUUCGAUUACAAUCCCAUGCUUUGAAGGACACUCUUGAAUUCUCUGUUCAUCCUCCAAAGGAGGGACUUUGAUGUGGAAGAUGAAUUUCAAACAAUAUGCCAAUGCUAUCCAUUUAAGGUAAAAGAAACAAACAUAUAAAUAACCUAAGUGUUUUUGUUUCCCUUUUCAAGGGAUUGAUCGCAAAUUUUGCUUGUAUUUCAUGUUCAAAACCGUGGGUUGUUUGGCCAUGAGGACUCACAUGUGUAGGCAUCCACUCUCGUAUAUGCAUAAUCCACUCACAUAUGUGUUAGGGGCUUUUUUUUUUUAAUGAUAUGCUUCUUUAUGGGUAUCUCCUUAAACUAUGAAGUGAUCAAUCGUUUCGUUUAGAUAAAAUUAUCAAUCUGUCAUUGAAAGUAAUUAUGUCAAGACAACUUCGAUCAAAAUGAGCUUCUUUUAAGCUCAUCCAAAAUAUUGUUCCUAUAAUUGAUUCUAUUGUGCAACAACCAGAAUUUACAAAGGGAGAGAGCGGUUAUUAGUCAUGGCAUGAGGCAAUAUCACCUCAUAGUUGAAAGGUGGAGAGUGGUUUAUUUGCCUUGAGAUAAUUUGUGUAUUGAUGUCGCCUUAUACUCCGUUCAUUUUCCAAGUGCGGCUUUUAUGAACUUUGCCAAUUCUAGGACAAGUUCAAAACAUGUAGAGAAGACCAAGUUACCAUGAAUGGAAAUCACAGCUACCAAAGUUUCCAUUUUUCCAUAUGGCAAAGUACACGAAUCUGAUGUGGUAAUGCCUGUCAAGCUUUAGGAGGUGGGAUUGGAUCAUACAUCAUGAGAAAUUGACUAUAUACCAAGCAUUUUCAAAGAUAACAAAAUUGUUGUCAACCUCUUGCAAGGAAAUACCAAAUAUUGGGAGUCCUUUUCGAUUACAAUCCCAUGCUUUGGACUCUCUUUAAUUCUUUGAUCAUCCUCCAAAGGGGGGACUUUGAUGUGGAAGAUGAAUUUCAAACAAUAUGUCGAUGUGAUCCGUUUAAGGCAAAAGAAACAAACAUAAAAAUACCCUAAGUGUUGAAACAAAAUCGUGUGUUGGUUGCCCAUGAGGAGUCACAUAUGUGUCGGCAUCUACUCACAUAUUUUCGAAGUUAAGAACCUAGCCGAUUCUCGUCUAAACCAGCCUCAAACAGAACCAAUCAGGCUGGUCUUCAUCAAUUCUAGCGUCUCCUUCAAAUAAUCGCUGACCCUAAGACCUUGUCUUUAUCACAAAUUCUCUUCCAACAUCCAAAUAUUCUCUUGAUUUACUUAUAACAUCCCACAUCGACCACAUAAUGAAGGAUAUUCCAACAAAAGCCUGAUUUUGCUUUCCUUUUAUGAACAAAGUCAAGUGCUGAGAAACUUCUCAAGGGCCUUCUAUUAGAACUUACUUGGAAGUUUUCCCAAUGUACACAACGCGGAGAAACAUAUUUUGGCAAUUCCUCCUCAAUCAAAUUUACGUGCUCAUGAAAUGGCCCGUGGUCACCACUUACUUUAAUCCAAACAUGUAUAUUUAAUGGAUGUUGAUACAGUUGUUUGAAGUGCAAUGACGCUUAAUCAGUAAGUGAGCCAAAGAGAUGACUCUGAAGCUCAACGACAUGCACUCCUACAUAAGAAUCACAAGAUUUGCCGUUUCAAAAGAUUGAAACUUUGGUAGCUGUGAUUUCCAUUUUGUAUAUAAGUAGAUGAACCUCGUCCCCUUCGCUACUUACUACAUUGAAAAUCCUAUACUGUCUCCACUCAACAUCCAUCACUAGAGACCAGCCAAAAUGUCCAACUGCACUCUCAUUGCCGCCUUCCUCCUCCUCCUCCUCCUCAUCGCCAUCACCACCACCACCUUCGUCUAUGCCGCCACCACCCUUGAGCACAAGGCCCUUGACCAUGACCACGAUGGUGGUAGGAGAGGUGGUCCAUUGCUUUCUUUGUCUUUUUUCUUUUUUUUAGGUUUUUAUUUUGUCCUAUAAAUUCAUUUUUGUACUAAAAUUGUGAGGUUGUUACUCCUGUUUGCUUACAGGAGCACUACUGAUGCUUGCACCAGACCCGUACUGUCACGCCCCGAACCCCGAGUGCGAGCACAUCCCACUGCGGUCGAUCAAAUGCGACAUUCCCAGGUAGUGUCGCCGACCCUAUUCAUUUUUUAUUUUUUUUUACGCAAGCGGAACAUAUUAUAAAACCCCUGACAAUGAAAUAUGUGAUAGACAAGUAGGAAGCAAAACCACAACAUAACACUUACAUAAACCAACGGGGUUAUAAACGAAGGCCUACAGCCAAAAGUCUACAAAAGAUCGGCUCUUAAAAAUGAACUGUCCUACGACCAACAAGUCGGACACGUUCUCCAGUCCUCCUGACUUCACCUCUGCAACUCCUCAAGGUCAACCAAAGCUAUCUAGCCGCUCCAUCCAUCUAGGGACCUGAAAUUUUAAUCCCACAACCGGGAUGAGACGAUGUCUCAGCAAGUUCAACCCCCUAAACCCCUAUUAGAAAGAAAAUACACCCCGGGUGGCCUAGCCACAUCACACAGAAGACUUACCUCGCCUCAGUUCCUUCCUGCAGGUUAGCGCAAUUCAAAUCACUCAAUCACAGAUAGUAAGAGGAACUUAAACAACCGGAACGUAUUCACUUUCAUAUAACCAACAAUCGCGGGGGUCUUGAUUAUAAGACUAAAUCGUUAUGACACGUCUCAUUCCAUGCCACACAAUUCCGUCCCAUAAUCCGACACAUCAACAACACUCAACAUGCAUUCCAAUUGUUAUUCACUGCCACACAAGGGCAUAGCCUACUCGCAGUUCGGCUAUCUACUGGCAUAUAGCCAGGCAUCGCCUCCCCACCUUGGAGCGCGGCUUCUUCAGUACAUCGACGGCGUUCCCGAAGGAGCAUGGGCCCAGAAUCAACUGCGACCCGCAACCACUGCGUGGGCAUCCCAUAUAGGGGCAAGUCUAGCUCAACAGCCCAGGACGAUUCCUCUUAAUUAUCACACAUCAAUUCAUAUUCAGCCCGGGGCACUUUGCAUUUCACUCAAUGCUUCCACUUAAAAUAGUGAUCCCGACCACUUUUCUUCAUAUUAAAAAUAUUCCAGAAAUUACUCACGUGUGUGGGGACACGCUAAUUUCGAAUAAAAAAGCCAAUAUCUCACUUUUUCCAACCCCACUAUUUAAUAUAAUAAUUAAAAUCCAAUUUUUGCAUAAAAACCCGACACUUGGGUUUUUAUGAAUAAAAUCUCUAUUUACCACAAUCAACACUCAAUUUGCCACAUCCAUUCAUUGAAUUCAAAUUCUAAAUGCACAGCAGCAAUCAGCACGAAAUUAUGAGGAAAUAGGGUUCCAAAAUAAUUUUCAGAAUUUAUUAAAUAAUUAAAUUUAUUCCGAAAAUUAAUUAAAUAAUAAUAUCCAUAUCUUUCACAAUCCCCACUCAAUUUAUAAUAUCCAAUCAUCAAUUUCAAAAUCUGACUGCACAGCAGCGACCAGCAAGAAAUUCUGAGAAUUUAGGGUCCCGGGGAAAAUUUUCGGAAUUUAAUAAAUAAUUAAAUUUAUUCCGAAAAAAAUUAAAUAAUAAUAUUUUAAUAAUUUCGAAUAAUAAUAUAUUAUUAAAUUAUUAAAUAAUUUCGAGAUAUUUAAAUAAAUCAAAAGUAAAUUCCUUUAUGUCACAUCAAUAUUUAUAUUAAUGUAAACAUUCACUUAAUCUUAAGUUAAUCACACUUUAAGUUAAUCAAGCACCUUUAAUAUAAUCUACACUUAAAUAAAUUAAACUAACCACCUAAUAACACUUAACAUAAACUAAACACACCUAAAGCAUCAUUAACCCUCUAAGCGAGGUUUAGUGAGUUAAACUCACCGGAUUAGCGAGCCGAGCGGACCAAAACGACGGGGACGACGCGAGGAUCGACUUUCCUCAAGCGGGCUGAGCAUCCGGGCUCGAGAAGGCGGCCAAAACGGGCCAAGACUUAGCUGCCAUACCCAUUUUCUUGGUUGCUGUCCAUGGCGGUUUGAGGCUGAGGAAGGGUAGAUCCCGGAGCUUGGAUGAGAUGGAGAGGGACCAAGGAAGGUUGAGGGGUCGAACCGGACCUAGGCGGGGCCCG
rnacentral:lncRNA from 1 species